UGCGAGCUGGUGCAAUCUGGCAGCACGCCCGGCUCUGAACCGGGAGGUUGGAGGUUCGAGUCCUCCGCUCGCAGC
rnacentral:tRNA from 1 species